AACGUAGGAGACAAACGUUAUCCGGAGUUACUGGGCGUAAAGGGCGUGUAGGUGGUAGUGUAAGUCUGGCGUGAAAUUUUUCGGCUUAACCGGGAAAGGUCGUCGGAUACUGCACAACUAGAGGACGGUAGAGGCGUGUGGAAUUCCGGGUGUAGAGGUGAAAUUCGUAGAUAUUCGGCGGAACACCAGUGGCGAAGGCGACUCACUGGCCCGAAACUGACGCUGAGGCGCGAAAGCGUGGGGAGCAAACAGG
rnacentral:rRNA from 1 species